CCUAAGGUAUUUGUGUUUGUCUGCCUGACUCAGUUUGCUUAGCCUUCUACUCUCGGGCUCCAUCCAUGUCCUUGGAAAUGGGAAGAUUUCAUCCCCUUUUUAUGGCUGAAUGAUACUCCUUCCUGUGUGUGUGCCCGCCCUCUCGCGUGCGUGUGCGCGUCCGCGUCCACGUCCACGUCCCGGCACACUCCUAUGAUAUAAUCAGCAUAAUUUCAUCUCCUGAAUUUGGAUGAAUUCUGGAAUAUAACCAAGAUCAGGCUGUAGACGUCUAAAAUUGAAGGCCAUGGCCUGGAUUCUGGUGAAUUCACUAAGGCAAACAACCCCUGUGAGAUGGUCCUGCAGCAUCCAUUGAGUGCUAUCUUUGGUGACACCCAGUCUUUGUUGUGUAACUUUGAAUUCCUAUAAAUCCUUUAAGGUCCCAAUAAAUUUUGUUUCUCAUUGCUCUGUUA